AAUCAACGCUGGCGGCGUGCCUAAUACAUGCAAGUCGAACGCGAAGACCCCGCAAGGGGUUUGUAGCGUGGCAAACGGGUGAGUAACGCGUGGGCGACCUGCCCUCGAGUGGGGGAUAACCUUCCGAAAGGAGGGCUAAUACCGCAUGACAUACCGUGUUUGGAUACACGGAUAUCAAAGCUGGGGAUCGCAAGACCUGGCGCUUGAGGAGGGGCCUACGUCCGAUUAGCUAGUUGGUGAGGUAACGGCUCACCAAGGCGACGAUCGGUAUCCGGCCUGAGAGGGCGGACGGACACACUGGGACUGAGACACGGCCCAGACUCCUACGGGAGGCAGCAGUAGGGAAUUGUUCGCAAUGGGCGCAAGCCUGACGACGCAACGCCGCGUGGAGGAUGAAGACCUUCGGGUCGUAAACUCCUUUCGACCGAGAUGAACACCUUCCGACCUAACACGUUGGAAGGCUGACAGUACCGAGGGAAGAAGCCCCGGCUAACUCCGUGCCAGCAGCCGCGGUAAUACGGGGGGGGCAAGCGUUGUUCGGAAUUACUGGGC
rnacentral:rRNA from 1 species